GAGGGAGAUCGAGCGGCUGGAUUUUGCUUGGUCCUCUCUUACUCUCCGCUACCGCUACCAUCAGCUUGUCUCCCUCUUCUCGUUCCGGCUUCCUGGCCACGGUGCUGGUGACCUUCAACCGUUCAAGAGUGGAUGGACCUCGUUGGCCAGCGGGCUGAGGUAUAAGGUCAAGGUUGCUGUCGUCAGUGUGCACGGGAUAUGCGACCUCCGGAUGCAUUGAGCGAGAUGCGCGCGCAGCCGACGCAUGCGCGCCAGCAGUCGGCUUGUCGUGCGUCGCAGCGUGUCGCGCAAGUCAUUGCCAAGGUCUUCGCUGGUCACGGGCAAACCGUUAUAAGUAGCGAUGGGCACGAACUGAAAUGUUGAUAUCAGAUCAUGAAGAUCUCAGUCCCAUUGCUAGUUGUAAGUUGCCGGUUGAGACUGAUGCAAGGUCAUCUACGAUUGUUUCAGGGUAAGCUGUAGUAUUAGCGCCUACCGCACCAAAACUUUUUCCGCUGCUUAUACUGUGACAUGAGUUUAAAGCGGUAAUUAUCUUCACCAAGAAUUAUUGAUUACUGAUUGAUGUACAAGAACGCAACUCAUAAGGACCUAAAAAUAUGAAUACAAAUGUGUUUGCAGUAUAAAUUCUCUAUCUAUUAUGUAAAACGGCAAAAUAUGGAGCUUUCAGGAGUUUUCUCUUGAAGUGGGACUUUCUUCCACCUCUGGGGGAAAUCGCAAAAGGAAUCAAACGCGUGCGUCGCGACGCCUGCGUCACGACACCCGGCGUACAUCCAUGGCCAAGGUCCUCCCCGGUCACGGGCAACCCGUUAUACGUAGCCGGGAGCCAACACUUGCUCGAGGUCGACCAUGACUGUCUUAUUCGCCCCAAGGCUCGGAAAAAGUUGAUC